AUUGAACGCUGGCGGCAUGCCUUACACAUGCAAGUCGAACGGUAACGGGCCUUCGGGUGCCGACGAGUGGCGGACGGGUGAGUAAUACAUCGGAACGUGCCCGAUCGUGGGGGAUAACGUGGCGAAAGCUUUGUUAAUACCACAUACGAUCUACGGACCAAAGCCGGGGACCGCAAGGGCUUGCGUGGGCGGAGGGGGCGGUGGGCGCGUCGGUGGAUUGUGGGAUAAACGCUUAGCAAGCCGACGAUCUGUAGCUGUACUGAGAGGAGGAUCAGCCACACUGGGACUGAGACACGGCCCAGACUCCUACGGGAGGCAGCAGAGGGGAAUGGUGGACAAUGGGCGCAAGCCUGGUACAGCCAUGGCGCGUGCAAGAUGAAGGCCUUCGGGUUGUAAACUGCUUUUGUACGGAACGAAAAGCCUUCGUUUAAGACAGGAGGGUCAUGACGGUACCGUAAGAAUAAGCACCGGCUAACUACGUG
rnacentral:rRNA from 1 species